rnacentral:rRNA from 1 species
AACGCGAAGAACCUUACCCAGGCUUGAACAGCGAGUGACCACUCACGAAAGUGAGCUUCCGCAAGGACACUCGUAGAGGUGCUGCAUGGCUGUCGUCAGCUCGUGUCGUGAGAUGUUGGGUUAAGUCCCGCAACGAGCGCAACCCUUGUCUGCUGUUGCCAUCAGGUUAUGCUGGGCACUCUGCAGAGACUGCCGGUGAUAAACCGGAGGAAGGUGGGGAUGACGUCAAGUCAGCAUAGCCUUUAUGUCUGGGGCUACACACGUGCUACAAUGGCCGGUACAAACCGUCGCGAGCCCGCAAGGGGGAGCUAAUCGGAGAAAGCCGGUCUCAGUUCGGAUAGCAGGCUGCAACUCGCCUGCUUGAAGCUGGAAUCGCUAGUAAUGCUAUAUCAGAACGAUAGCGUGAAUACGUUCCCGGGCCUUGUACACACCGACGCGUA